UGGGGAAUCUUGCGCAAUGGGCGAAAGCCUGACGCAGCGACGCCGCGUGGGGGAUGAAGGCCUUCGGGUUGUAAACCCCUUUCGGCAGGGACGAAGCUAACGUGACGGUACCUGCAGAAGAAGUCCCGGCUAACUACGUGCCAGCAGCCGCGGUAAGACGUAGGGGACGAGCGUUGUCCGGAUUUAUUGGGCGUAAAGCGCGCGUAGGCGGCUUGGAAAGUCGGAUGUGAAAAUCCGGGGCUCAACCCCGGACCUGCAUCCGAUACUUCCAGGCUAGAGGUAGGUAGGGGAGAUCGGAAUUCCUGGUGUAGCGGUGAAAUGCGCAGAUAUCAGGAGGAACACCGGUGGCGAAGGCGGAUCUCUGGGCCUUACCUGACGCUGAGGCGCGAAAGCUAGGGGAGCGAACAGGAUUAGAUACCCCCGUAGUCC
rnacentral:rRNA from 1 species